GUUGUGUUUAGCUGCUGCUGUCUCAGGGAUGCUGUGUGUUCUUGAGAACAUGCUGAAGUUUCAUCAGAAUGAAAGUUUACAGAAAAUCUGAUGAAUCUGUCUGAAUGUGAAACUUUAAGACAG